GUCUAACGGGUACAGGAUCCACAAUGGAUCUGUGCUACUCUUUCACCUCCUGGAGCUGAGAAAAGGUCACAAACAGUUCACUACUUAUUCCUUUCAGUAGCCAGAUUGGUAUUAUAUCUGAAGUUGUUCAUGAGAGUAAGACAACACAGUGGCAAGAUUGGGUAGUUUCAUCUGAAACGUGCGGCUUCCCUUCGUCUCUUCCCUGCCUGCCCAAGGCUGGAGGUCACCUACUUACGCUCAUCCUAACGUGUGAGAUUGUGAACAAUUCUGAGAUGCAGUGAACACACUGAUCAAACGUUUUUGAGACUGAGUACAUUCAUCUGAGCUGUUAGCUGCUACGCUCCACUGCAUCCUUGUAUGAUCUGCGUGGUCCAGACCCCUGGAGAAAAUUUGUGCAUGCAUACUGUAUGUGAACUUUAGAUAAAUAAAUAAACACGCGAAACAGCUUCCAGAUAAUUGAAAGUGAAUGAAGGAGGGAGCCAAAAGAAAACAAUUUCUCUGGGGAUAAGCAGCUAAGGUGGCAGAUGUUACAGACAUACAGAUGAAUUUUCUGCGGCAAAUCUGCACCUUGCAGAGGAAGUUACUUGGCCUCCAUCUCAAAUGUCAGACCACCUGGGAUAUGCAGCUGUCGGGCUGAAAGGGGAGCUGCCUGGGACUGGCCCCGGCCUGCUCAUCAAGGAGAUACUGUCACCAGCCAGCAGGCAAUGCUAGGUGCACAGGGGUGCCAGCACCGCCGAAAGCCAGAGAUACGCCUGGCUCAGGAUUUGAGAUUUUUAAGGAAGAAAAAUAAAGAACUUAGCUGAAACUAUGGAUAUUUCUACCAAAGAGCUGGGUCUGAGGUGGUAUUCUUUCCUUCUAG